AAGCAGCUCUGCUCUCCUUCUGUAGGUUUGUUGGGUCACACCAUCUGUGGCAAUGGCUUUCACCAGCUGCAGGACUGGGUUUUCACUGUCCUUCAGAACAGCAUUUUGAAAUGUGGAGCUGUCACAGAAGGCACAACAUAAGGACUGAAAAAAUGCAUCAAAUGCACAGUUUCAUCUGCAUGGAGCCAUUCGGUACAUGAAGAGAGGUAGGAAGUCCUCUUCCUUUUUUUGGGUGGAACAGCUAGGCCCCUCCAGUUCUCAACUGCAUCCCCAUCAGCCGGAAGAAUGUUUGUGGCAGCAUCAGAUCCCACAAAUGGAACAAAUCCGCAUAUGAAUGAAAGAUGACGAGCAAUGAAGCGAUCGACUCGAAGAGGUCAGUCUGGAUCUCAUCCACUGAAUCCACUCUCUCACUUUCCUCCGUCUGUUCAUCUGGAAUGAUGAUGGAGUCUUGAGCAAUUUGGGCUUUCAAGUAUUUCUUGCACCUUUCUGAAGGAAGAGGGGCUCCAGAACUGUCAUCACCUUCUGCCUCACUGAGGGCCACAACAGUGAUAGCAUGCAGUUCCACUGGCAUAUCAUCUUGAUGCAGUGCGCAACAUCAACCCUGAUAUAACAAGGGGGCAGUUUGGCAGACUGGGUUCCAAGAAGGACAUGAAAGCAUUCAUUAAGAGCGGCCAAAUUUGGAAGGUGGCUUGGCUCAGGAUCUCCAACAUCCAUCAGAUCUGCUGCCCUCGCUGACCUCCAUACAGCCAGUUCCAUUCUGCCCUCACACAGCUCUUUAGCGAUCUGUUCACACAGGUUUCCAGACAUGAACCGCUUGGAGUGGCCAGUGUGCAGGGAGAGAUCUGUAUUUCUCAUGAAACACUGGAGCACCAUUGGACUAUUAAUUGCUGUCUGUCUGUCACAUGACAUUUCUAACUGGCCAUGACACUCCUUACAGUCGCCUCUGAUGUCCAGAUAUUUAUUGUUGACAGUUGGAUGGACCUUUGCUCUUCGGAAC
ensembl:lncRNA